AUUUUGGCAUUUACAAAAACACAAAGAGACACGCACGCACACACACGUCAAUUUUCACGUACACACACGCACGAUUGACGACAAGACGGAUGGGGGGAAGCAAUUGAAGAUGUUAUUCUUUCUGUGUGUGUGUGAUUAUUUGCACAACAUUGUUUUUGUUUUAAUUGGCGACAUUUCUAAAAAAAAGUGGACUAAAAUGGAGUUACUAAUAUUGGCACAAGGAUUACCUCUCAUGGCAUUUUGUUUGUCUCUUGGACAAUUAGUUUUAGUUAUGGUACUUGUGAUUUAUAUACUAUUUAAUGUUUAACUGUGCAUAACUUUUACUUAAUUACUUGAGAUAAAACUAUAGGCUAUAGUAUUGUACUAUCUAUGAUACAUAAAUUGUAAUUGUAACUAAAUACAUUAAUUAAAAGUUGGAGAUGAAUCAAAA